AUCCAGAUGAUGAGUCCUAAAUGGGACGAAGCGGGCCUCCUGGAU
rfam:Trichobilharzia regenti genome assembly, scaffold: TRE_scaffold0000060